rnacentral:rRNA from 1 species
GCUCAGUAACACGUGGAGAACGUGCCCUUAAGUGGGGGAUAAUCUCGGGAAAUUGAGGAUAAUACCCCAUAGGUCAUGGGAUCUGGAAUGACCCAUGGCUGAAAGUUCCGGCGCUUAAGGAUCGCUCUGCGGCCUAUCAGGUAGUAGUGGGUGUAACGUACCCCCUAGCCUACGACGGGUAUGGGCCUUGAGAGAGGGAGCCCAGAGUUGGAUUCUGAGACACGAAUCCAGGCCCUACGGGGCGCAGCAGUCGCGAAAACUUCACACUGGGGGGAACCCCGAUGAGGGAAUUCCUAGUGCUUGGGCAUUUGUCCAAGCUUUUCCCGAGCGUAGAUAACUCGGGGAAUAAGGGCUGGGUAAGACGGGUGCCAGCCGCCGCGGUAAUACCUGCAGCCCGAGUGGUGGUCGAUUUUAUUGAGUCUAAAGCGUUCGUAGCCGGUCCGUUAAAUCCUUGGGUAAAUCGGGAAGCUCAACUUUCCGACUUCCGAGGAGACUGGCGGACUUGGGACCGGGAGAGGCCAGAGGUACUUCUGGGGUAGGGGUAAAAUCCUGUAAUCCUAGAAGGACCACCGGUGGCGAAGGCGUCUGGCUAGAACGGAUCCGACGGUGAGGGACGAAGCCCUGGGUCGCAAACGGGAUUAGAUACCCCGGUAGUCCAGGGUGUAAACGCUGCCGACUUGGUGUUGGGGGCCCUUCGGGGGAACUCAGUGCCGGAGAGAAGUUGUUAAGUCGGCCACUUGGGGAGUACGUCCGCAAGGAUGAAACUUAAAGGAAUUGGCGGGGGAGCAC